rnacentral:rRNA from 1 species
CCUACGGGAGGCUGCAGUGGGGAAUAUUGGGCAAUGGAGGCAACUCUGACCCAGCAACGCCGCGUGAAUGAUGAAGGUCUUCGGAUUGUAAAGUUCUGUGAUGGGGGAUGAACACAAUGACGGUACCCCAAUAGCAAGCCACGGCUAACUACGUGCCAGCAGCCGCGGUAAUACGUAGGUGGCAAGCGUUAUCCGGAAUGACUGGGCGUAAAGGGUGCGUAGGUGGUUUAGUAAGUUGGCGGUGUAAUUCCGGGGCUCAACCUCGGCGCUACCGCCAAAACUAUUAGACUAGAGUGCAGGAGGGGUAAGUGGAAUUCCUAGUGUAGCGGUGGAAUGCGUAGAUAUCACGAAGAACUCCGAUUGCGAAGGCAGCUUACUAAACUGCCACUGACAUUGAUGCUCGAAAGUGUGGGUAUCAAACAGGAUUAGAUACCCCAGUAGUC